rnacentral:ncRNA from 1 species
UCGCCGCAACGGUAAUUCAAUUUAGUACGAGAGGAACCGUUGAUUCAGAUGAUUUGUUUUUGCGGCUAUCUGACAAGGCAUUGCCGCGACGCAACCAUCUGCCGGACUAUGGUUGAACGCCUCUAAGUCAGAAUCCGUGCCGGAACGCGGCGA